rnacentral:misc_RNA from 1 species
GAUGAAGAACGUAGCGAAACGCGAUAAGUAGUGUGAAUUGCAGAAUUCAGUGAAUCAUCGAAUCUUUGAACGCACAUUGCGCCCCUUGGUAUUCCAUGGGGCAUGCCUGUUCGAGCGUCAUUUGUACCUUCAAGCUCUGCUUGGUGUUGGGUGUUUGUCCCGCCUCUGCGUGUAGACUCGCCUCAAAACAAUUGGCAGCCGGCGUAUUGAUUUCGGAGCGCAGUACAUCUCGCGCUUUGCACUCAUAACGACGACGUCCAAAAGUACAUUUUUACACUCUUGACCUCGGAUCAGGUAGGGAUACCCGCUGAACUUAAGCAUAUCAAUAAGCGGAGGA